UCUGGCUCAGGAUGAACGCUAGCGGCAGGCUUAACACAUGCAAGUCGAGGGGCAGCGCGCGGGUAGCAAUACCUGUGGCGGCGACCGGCGCAAGGGUGCGUAACGCGUGAGCAACAUGCCCGUGUCAGGGGGGAUAAGCGAUGGAAACGUCGUCUAAUACCGCAUAACAACAGAUAGGACAUCCUAUUUGUUUGAAAGAUACGUCGGACACGGAUUGGCUCGCGAGACAUUAGCUAGACGGCGGGUAACGGCCCACCGUGGCGACGAUGUCUAGGGGUUCUGAGAGGAAGGUCCCCCACACUGGAACUGAGACACGGUCCAGACUCCUACGGGAGGCAGCAGUGAGGAAUAUUGGACAAUGGUCGGAAGGCUGAUCCAGCCAUGCCGCGUGAAGGCAGACGGUCCUAUGGAUUGUAAACUUCUUUUGUACGGGAGCAAUAAGGAUCACGUGUGGUCCGAUGAGAGUACCGUACGAAUAAGCAUCGGCUAACUCCGUGCCAGCCGCCGC
rnacentral:rRNA from 1 species